UUGAAUUCUUAUAGUUUUCAUUUCUUUUUUUAAGAAAAAAAAUUAUACCACUAAUUGUUGGUUUGUAGAUGUUGUUGAUCUAGUUGCCUUCAGAAGCAACACCGAUCUGGUUCUGGUGUUGGUGAUAUUUGUUUUUUUUCUUCUUCUUGUAGUUGAGGUGGAAAAUGAAGAUAUACUAUAAUACCAGAUCUGAUUCUUAGUAAAAAUAAAUGAUUAUGGUUUUUGGUAUUA
rnacentral:lncRNA from 1 species